rnacentral:lncRNA from 1 species
UACUCUUGUGUUCUCUUCCACAAUCUUUUAAGCAUUUCCGUGAUACUUUGAUUUAUGGAAAAGAAACAGUUUCGUAUCAAGAAAUUAAAUCUGCACUGAAAUCUAAGGAGCAGAUAGACAGGAAUAUCAUUGGGGAAAGUAGAGGGAAUCAGGCUGAAGGUCUGGUUGUUAGGGGGAGAAUAGAUAAAAGAGAAUUUGACAGUAGUAGAUCUAAAUCU